rnacentral:rRNA from 1 species
AACGAACGCUGGCGGCAGGCCUAACACAUGCAAGUCGAACGAGAUCUUCGGAUCUAGUGGCGGACGGGUGAGUAACGCGUGGGAACGUGCCCUUCUCUACGGAAUAGUCCUGGGAAACUGGGUUUAAUACCGUAUACGCCCUUCGGGGAAAGAUUUAUCGGAUUUGGAUCGGCCCGCGUUAGAUUAGGUAGUUGGUGGGGUAACGGCCUACCAAGCCUACGAUCUAUAGCUGGUUUUAGAGGAUGAUCAGCAACACUGGGACUGAGACACGGCCCAGACUCCUACGGGAGGCAGCAGUGGGGAAUCUUGGACAAUGGGGGCAACCCUGAUCCAGCCAUGCCGCGUGAGGGAUGACGGCCUAUGGGUUGUAAACCUCUUUUUUCAGGGAGGAAUCAAUGACGUGUACCUGAAGAAUAAGCAUCGGCUAACUCCGU